rnacentral:rRNA from 1 species
AGUCGAACGCAGUAGCAAUACUGAGUGGCAAACGGGUGAGUAUAAUGUGGGUAUCUGCCUUUUGGUUUGGAAUAACACGAGGAAACUUGUGCUAAUACCGGAUAAGCCUUCACAGGGAAAGUUUUAACGCCGAAAGAUGAGCCCGCACUUGAUUAGUUUGUUGGUGAGGUAAUGGCUCACCAAGACAAUUAUCAAUAGCUGGUCUGAGAGGACGAUCAGCCACAUUGGGACUGAGACACGGCCCAGACUCCUACGGGAGGCAGCAGUAAGGAAUCUUGCACAAUGGGGGAAACCCUGAUGCAGCGAUGCCGCGUGAGUGAAGAAGGCCCUUGGGUUGUAAAACUCUUUCGUCGGGGAAGAAAAUGACUGUACCCGAAUAAGAAGGUCCGGCUAACUUCGUGCCAGCAGCCGCGGUAAUACGAAGGGACCUAGCGUAGUUCGGAAUUACUGGGCUUAAAGAGCUCGUAGGUGGUUAAAAUAGUUGAUGGUGAAAUCCCAAGGCUCAACCUUGGAACUGCCAUCAAAACUUUUUAGCUAGAGUGUGAUAGAGGAAAGUGGAAUUUCUAGUGUAGAGGUGAAAUUCGUAGAUAUUAGAAAGAACACCAAAUGCGAAGGCAACUUUCUGGGUCACUACUGACACUGAGGAGCGAAAGCAUGGGUAGCGAAGAGGAUUAGAUACCCUCGUAGUCCAUGCCGUAAACGAUGUGUGCUAGACGUUGGAAAUAUAUUUUUCAGUGUCGCAGCGAAAGCAUUAAGCACACCGCCUGGGGAGUACGACCGCAAGGUUAAAACUCUAUGAAUUGACGGGGACCCGCACAAGCAGUGGAGCAUGUGGUUUAAUUCGAAGAUACGCGCAGAACCUUACCAACACUUGACAUGUUCGUCGCGAGACCAAGAGAUUGGUUUCUUCAUUUAGUUGGACGAAACACAGGUGCUGCAUGGCUGUCGUC